UAACCUUAGCAUUCUGUGUGACCGGCUCCUUACUACAGAUUAUCAGAAUAACAAUAAUAAUUAUGGAAUUAAAUUCGGAUUUAGUAGGAGUACAAGGAAUUUUAUAUAGUUGUUUAAAAAGAGUUGGCGAUUUUACUAAAAUCAACUGCAAAAACGGUAAGGAAGAGAAAAUACUUCUUGUUGUAAGCGAGUUAGGAAAAUUUUUGUGUAAUAAAAACUAUUUGUGUGACGGAAAUGUUGUUCCUAAAUUUACCAAGGAACUAGAAGAUUUUACUUUUUUCUUGGCAUUAAAUACUAAAUUCAAAAAGGAAUUGGUUUCUGAAGAUUAUCCACAUUUAAUUGGGAUUUUACCACCAUUAUCUUCAUGCCUCUUUGCCAACAUUUGUUAUGGUUUGGAUCUUUGUACACAGUAUGGUAGUAUUAUGUCCAGAUUCACAAUUGAAGUCACUCAAGAAAUGUUGGAGGAGAUAAGCUAUUGUUUAAGCAAUUCAAAGCCAGAUGAACAACUUAAGGCAUUUAUUUUUCUGAAAGCAGCUGCGAAAAAGUUGUAUUUGACUGAGUUUACAAACCAGAUAGAAAGCUCUAUAGAAAAUAUUGUCAGUGCUUCAAAUGAUGUAUUAAAAAAUCUCAAUGGAAUUGGUGUCAGUUAUGCAAAGGAAAUGAAAGAGAAAGAAAUAUACCAACAUAUGGGAUUAAUAAUGCUUAAUUUAUUGGAUUUAUUAUUAGAUAUUGAUGAGAAUACUCUGUCAUUAAGAAGAUUUUUAGAGUGCUUGUUUGCGACAACUUGCAACACAUUCAGCAGCGUAUCCUUGAAUGUAUUUUGUACUUGGGCUGAGGUUAAAUAUGAGGAUCAACCUCUUCAACUCAUUGUGGCUGGUAGAGCCUAUUUAGUUAUAGAAAAAUAUAGGAAUAUCGAUCUAGCAACUGAAUUAAUUAGCAUGCUUAGCACAAUAGCAAAGAAGCCAAAAACAAUAAAUCAACUGAUAGACGAAGCUGACCUAUCUACCAUAAUCAGUAAAGUAAGCAAAGCAGAUGCCCAUCAACAUAAAUGGUUUAAAGCCCUAUUAAAAUACAACAUAUUCCAUGACGAUAAUGCUUGGCAAUGUGUUGAACAAUGGUACCAUUUAUGUGAUGAAACUGAUUUUAAAAAACUUUUAAAUCAACCUGUUGGUGACAAUAAAUCAAGAUAUAGAAAUAUCAUACAGAAAUGUGCCUCAAACUUAAGCUCAGAAUUUCUGAAAAGGACUUUGAUUGGUGAGUUAUGGCACAAAGAUUUUCAAUGGCAUGAAGAUACUCAAGAUAGACUGGUGUUGACUUUUAACAGGAUGGAAGCUCAAUUAAAAGAGACUGACUUAAAAGAUCUUUUAUUACUACUAUUUGAAAAUGUUUCUUUAUUUUUUCGGCAUCUCUAUUUAGUUACAUUUAAUGGAUCACAGAUUAGCAGCCAAGUGUUCAAUUUAACAGCAGACAUUGCAUCUAUCAACAAUGUUGGACUUGAAAAUAUUAAAGUACUCUUUGGAGAAAACCAACCAACAGAUCAAAAUGUUAGUGGUUAUGUCAAAUUGUUUGAAGCGAUCAAUAGCUGUGGUUCCUUUUCAUGGGAUACUAUUAUUUUGGAUAUUUUACUACCAUUUUUGCAAAAAUAUAGAAGUGAUAAAGCUUUGGAUACACUAUGUAGUUGUCUUCAACUUCUAAAGCAUUUUGGUGAAGUUAAUCUCAAUUUGACGACAGAACAAAAAAUUUUUCAAGAACUUCUGGUUUGUUCUGCGGAGAACAGAUGGAGAUCAUUUUUACAGUUUGCCAAUGAAAAGGAAGGGAUUGUUAAAAAUUGUGUGGAGUUUAUCUUAAAAAGGAUUGAUUUCUUAACAUCCAACAAACAAGACCAGCUUGUAAAUAUGGUAUCUGUGGAAUAUAUUAAUGACCCUUGGUCCAUGUAUUACAAAGAAUUACAUACAGGAGAAGUCCGACCAAGUCUAAUUGGUUGCAUUUUGCCAAACAUUGAGCUUACAAGCUAUUAUCAGGAAAACCCAGAUGAAAGCUUCACACACUUGAUGAAGAUUCUUCCAUGUUGCGUAACGCCAGAAUGGUAUAUUAUCUUUAAAGAAUUUGAAAACCGGCAAGGAUUUUCCGCAACUUUGAACCUUUUUUCCGAUAUUAUCAUUCUUUUGUGUGAUUUUGCAGAAUCUCAAAAAAAACAGCAAACUGAAAACUUCAACCAGAUAAUUCAUCCUUUAAAAUAUUGUUUGCAGAACUAUGGAAAGUUGCUUGCAAAGUAUUUGCAGGAAGCAAGCAAGGAAGAUCAGAUUGGCGCUAUAAAUUGUGUAUGCAGAAUGCUCAAAUAUAUUCCUAAUCCAGUAAAAACUACAGAAGGCAUGUUCUUAGUUAAUGUGCUACCCGAAAAUGUUCUGAAAAUGCUGGCACAAAACAAGGAAUUCAUAGCACGUGUAGUGCUUAUCAAUGACCAAAUAUUGUGCAAAGCUCUAGCUCAAAAAAUUGUUGGAACAAAAUAAUCACUUUUUUAUUGGUCACUUGUUACUACUCUCAAAAAAUACAUAUUUUGUUUCUUACUCAUUUUAUUUUUCUUCUGUACGAGGGAAAUAACAUAAAACAGCCUGCGUGGAUGCAAUAAACAAACAAACAUCCAUAUUUUUUGCCCUAUCACAUAAUUUUUUUAUAGCGCUCCAAUUUUAAAAAAUGUUAUUAUGACAUGAAUGUGUUUGUUCCGUGUUAGGCAUGAUUUUUAAAUGAAUUGAUUUUUGUGAAACUAAUUUCGAUUUGGCAACACUGGAUAAUAUUAGAUUCUCUGCAAAACAACGGAGUUGGCGCAUUAGCUUCAAUAGAGGGUUGUGACCUGCUUAUGCGCAGCUUGGUUGUAUUGGCCCUCGUGGUACUGUGUUCGCGGCUGUUGUCUUUAUUGUUCCUUAUUUCUAGUGUUCUAGAACAUCAAUAUCGAAAGAAGACAUUGUGUGAACAAUCCAAAUAACUCUUGUUAUAUCUGUAGUAAUUCUGUUGUAGUAAAGCAAAGGCAAACUAUAACUUCUUUUGGGAAAAAUGUAUACCACACUUAUUUUGGCGUAAAAAUUGGCGACCACGACAAGUCCUGGGCGCCUCAUAAUGUUUGUUCUGUUUUCGUUGAAGCAUUAAGAAACUGGCAAACAAGUGAUGAUUGAUAUUUUUGUUCAUGUAAUGUUCAAGAAUUUAACAGAAAAAAUAAGUAACAAAUUGUCUUGAAUUGUCUCGAAUCUUGACUUUCCUAUUCAACCAUGGACCAGAUGUACCGAUACCUACCGCCCCGAAAGAACUACAAAACGUCAUAUCGUCAGAAUCAGAGGAAUCUAAUUCCUACCCAGAAUUAAAUAAUUUAAUUAGAGAUUUACACCUUCCUUAAUUCCAAAGGAUGCAUCUGAAUUGUUAGCGUCCAGACUUCGUGACAAACAUUUACUGGCACCUGGCGUCACAUUAAGCUUUCAUCGGGAUCGCAAAAAAGAGUUUAGAAGACGAAUGGCGCCUGUUUAUUGACUCAAGUAAGUGUAGUUUAAAAGGCGUUUUAUUGCCCAAAGGUAACGAACUGGCCGCGGUUCCCGUUGCAGAGUGCGUACAUUUAAAAGAAACAUUUGAAAAUUAAGGAUUUCUUUUCAAGAAAAUAAACUACUAAGAAUAUCAGUGGAUGCUUUGUGGUGACCUUACAGUGCUGUGCAUGCUCCUAGGACAUAGGGGUCAUACAAAAUUUCCAUGCUUUAUGUGUAAUUGGACUGAAAUAGAAUGUCAAUCUAGAACAAGCCUUACACCACGUAGCAAAAACGUAUUAAGAGAUGGGUUAGUUGACCCCAAAAAAGUUUUACUGCCUCUUCAUAUCAUUCCACUGUUGAAUUAUUAUACCUGAUGUGCUCCAACAUUGUGAACUUUCAAAAACUAUUGAAAAAUGGGUGUUUGAUAUUUAUAAAAAAAAUUAUUCAAUGAAACCAAACGCUUGAAACUUGAUGGUUUAGUUUGGGAAAGGGGGAAGGUAAUUUUGCAAAAAAAAAAAUGUUUUAAUGCCUCAUAUCAAACUUGGCUUGAUGAAGCAGUUUGUUAAAGUCCUAGACAAAAACGGACAGUGUUUCACAUAUUUGUGUGAGAAUCUUCCAGCCACAUCGGAUGCCAAGAUAAAAAAAGGUUUUUGUUGGGCCGCAGAUAAAAACAUUAUACAAAGACAUGGAUUUUCAAAACACAGUGACCAGUGUCGAGAAAAACUAACUGAAAAGCUUCUUGGGAACUCUAAGGACAGAAACUACGAAGUUAGCGAAGAACAGGGAGAGAGGUUUCCCCAGGACAUUAAGGCAGAUGGAGCAUAACGGUAAUGGUGGACUAGUGCUGUAUGUUAAAACGGGAACGCAGCUUUCUGGUAAAAAGACGAUUGCUCUCAAAAAAGUCAGGGUAAAGUUUUUUUUUCUCUUUUUUUUUAAACUAGGA